rnacentral:rRNA from 1 species
GAAUAUUGGACCAUGGGGGGAACCCUUAUCCAGCCAUGCCGCGGGGGUGAAGAAGGCCUUUUGGUUGUAAAGCACUUUAAGCGAGGAGGAGUCUACUUAGAUUACUACUCUGGGCUAGUGGACGUUACUCGCCGAAUAAGCCCCGGCUAACUCUGUGCCCGCAGCCGCGGUAAUACGGAGGGUGCAAGCGUUGAUCGGAUUUACUGGGCGUAAAGCGCGCGUAGGUGGCUAAUUAAGUCAAAUGUGAAAUCCCCGAGCUUAACUUGGGAAUUGCAUUCGAUACUGGUUGGCUAGAGUAUGGGAGAGGAUGGUAGAAUUCCAGGUGUAGCGGUGAAAUGCGUAGAGAUCUGGAGGAAUACCGAUGGCGAAGGCAGCCAUCUGGCCUAAUACUGACACUGAGGUGCGAAAGCAUGGGGAGCAAACA